rnacentral:lncRNA from 1 species
AUGAUAGCUAAUACUGAUUCUAUCUAUCUAGAUCCUCCUGAGAUUAAAAGUGAAUCUUCUUGCCAGACUAAGACUUUGACUGUCUGUGACUGCAUUGUGGACUCCAACCCCCCCAGUGAAGUCAAGUGGUUUGGUCCAGAUUCCUUGGAAACCUUCUCCAGCACCAGCAUUAAACAAACUGAGUCUUUUACCAUAUUCACCCUCCAGGGUUGGCUGGGUUUCCCUGAGACUGUCCAGUGCUUCGCCAAUAACACUCUGGGAAAUUCUUACAUAACUUUAGAAGCUCCUCAAAAUGGCAUUAUGAUACACAUUGCUGUUGCAUCUGUUGCAGUUGUUUUAGUCUGCAUUUUAGUGUAUGUUGUGAGAAAACGCUGGCAACGAUCUCGCUCUCUCGGUCACUCUCUCAUAAGCUACACAUCAUAGUUUGACUCAAAAAAGACCACAUCACUGCAGAUUGAUGGUACUCACUUUGGUCACCCACUACUACAAUGCCAGCGGUCAUGUCCUUGAUGAAUUCCUCUUCAGAACCUGUGUGCUUUGAUCAAAACAACGGGAAGUGUUAAAAUAUGUCUUACAGUAUUAACAGUUAUCGAACUCAAAUAAAUGUGCACUUAUAAAGUAAAUAAAUUCAUUUACAAUUUGUCCAAGCUCCACAAUGUCACAGUCAUUCCCAUUAUGCCUGCAUAGCACUUUGAUGGAAACAACCAUAAAAGAACUUGCUGAGGUACAUCCACAAGUAUUCUGUGCUUAUCUUCUGUCGAUCCAGAAUAUCAAUAACAUGGACAAUACACAAACAUGUUAAAACAACACUAUAAAUAAAAAUAAAUAAAUCUUGAUAGAGAAAGCCAAAAUAUCAUUGCAAGUUUACAUUUAAAUUACCAAAACCAUAUUUAACAAUCCAGAAAAGGCUUUUAAAUGGCACAACACAGGAAAUUAGAACAAAACAGCUAAUUUUACACAUUGUGACAAUACUUAUUGCAGGGCUGUUUAUACAAGAUAUAUGUCAUCAUUGCUAUUCAGACCAUUGAUUUGAUAACUGACAGUAUAUUCACGCAGCGUUGCGAUGGGUUCUGGUGAGGCACUUCAAUAACCUGGAUAUACUUCAUUAUAAGAGGAACCUUCACACAUCAGCUACAGUAGCUAUUAAAACUGAUAAAAACACUCUGGAGACUGCAGGUGCCUUAACAUUUACAAUUAAAAGAAAAUAUUGCACCAAUAAAAUGUAUAAUGUGACUUUAAUUACUUAAAUUAUCUCUGGGUCGGAGGACUAAAAUUUACAUUAAUAAAUGGAGAACAAACAAGUAUUUCAUUAAAUGAAUUGUUUACCCGAAAAUGGAAAUUUCUUGAACAUUUACUCCCCCUCAGGCCAUCCAAGAUGCAGAUGAGUUUGUGUGUUCAUCAGAGCAGAUGUGAAGAAAUUUAGCAUUACAUAAUUUGCUCACCAUUUGAUAAAAACACUGAAAUAAUCCAGAACACCAGUCCAGUAAUUAAUGCCGUGCAAGGUGAAAAGCUGUAUGUUCGCAAGAUGUUUUUUGUUUUUUUGUAAGACUGUCAUUUUUGGGUGGACUAUUCCUUUAAUGUAAAUUCAUGUUAUGUGGUUUUAGUUAGCUUAGUUGUGGAGGAAAAUAAAACACAAUAUUAAACCAAAACCUCCUGGCAUGUAUUCUGCAUCAAGCUUGUUAAAGACUUGCUAUUAGGUUCAAUUAUAUGCAAUCUUCUAUGCAAUAAUUCAAUGUAAUCCAAUAUUAUAUGGCAGUUUCAAGUGUUUCCUGGAUACUCAAUUCUGAACCAGAAUGUUAUGUAAUUCCAAAUUAACAUUUCUGUUUCUAAAUAAAUUAACAGUUUCAUUUUCUAUUAUUAUAUAAAACUCAUCUUAA